GGCAAUGGUAAAUGGUGCCCUACUGCCCUUCUCGAUUCUUCUCCCCCAAAUCCUCUUCCCCGAGUACUCGUGCCCAUCCCUGCGCUGAUCCCGUCCUCUCUCUCUCUCUCUUGGUGUCCAGCGGGAGGGGUUGGCGACGGCUUCGCACGCAGCAUCGUGAGUGACGAGUCGCAGAGGAGAAGGUUCAAAAUCAAUUGCCGCAUGAACAUUCUUUGGGCUGGGCUUCAGAAGAAGGCGCACAGAGAGGUCGCACGACUGGGAGCUCAACUGGCAUCCGAAAAGGUUCUGUUCUCACGCCAGGAUGGGUGGAGGCUGAUCUACUGAUCCAAUGCUAAAGCUUCAAGCGAGGAUGGCCACCGGUUUCAACUUUGUAAAAAUUCUAAUUCUAUAAAUGCAAAAGAAGACAAAGACUGAAAGACUACAAAGGUGCACGCAAAGAAGUCCUCCUGUAGAUAUAGAUAUGUCGGCAUCCAUCCAAUACUGUAAUAAGUUUCAUUACUGAAACGGUGCACGCACGGCAAGGUCAACUGGAAGGUCGGUCAAGAUAGUAACUGGCACGCGUCGCCGUGCUCCAAGGAUCCAUUCUCAAAGAAUAAAUUAUCCGUUGAUUUGACACUUUGUAAUGCAAACAUAAAAGAAUUAUUAUCGACUGAACCGAAGUUGUUUCUGCAAGUGAUUCUAAUCUUGGUUUACGUCCUAUUCAUACGGGUUUAUGUAUUACCUGCACCAAUGUUAA